GCCGGGCGCCGUGGCGUGUGUCUGUAGUCCCAGCUACUCGGGAGGCUGAGGCUGGAGGAUCGCUUGAGUCCAGGAGUUCUGGGCUGUAGUGCCCUAUGCCGAUCGGGUGUCCGCACUAAGUUCAACAUCAAUAUGGUGACCUCCCAGGAGCAGGGGACCAGCAGGUUGCCUAAAAAGGGGUGAACCGGCCCAGGUCGGAAACAGAGCAGGUCAAUACUCCCUUGCUGAUCAAUAGUGGGAUUGCACCUGUGAAUAGCCAUUGCACUCCAGCCUGGGCAACAUAGCGAGACCCUGUCUCU
rnacentral:SRP_RNA from 1 species